rnacentral:rRNA from 1 species
CUACGGGAGGCUCCAGUGAGGAAUUUUGCGCAAUGGGGGAAACCCUGACGCAGCAACGCCGCGUGAGCGAAGAAGGCCUUCGGGUCGUAAAGCUCUGUCAAGUGGGAAAAAAAUUUUUUGAUCAAUAGUCAAAAGACUUGAUGGUACCACUGGAGGAAGCACCGGCUAACUCCGUGCCAGCAGCCGCGGUAAUACGGAGGGUGCGAGCGUUGUUCGGAUUUACUGGGCGUAAAGAGCGUGUAGGCGGUUUAGCAAGUCAGAUGUGAAAGCCCUGGGCUCAACCCGGGAAGUGCAUUUGAACUGCUUCACUAGAGUAUGGGAGGGGAGAUUGGAAUUCCUGGUGUAGAGGUGAAAUUCGUAGAUAUCAGGAGGAACACCCGUGGCGAAGGCGAUUCUCUGGACCAAUACUGACGCUGAGACGCGAAAGCGUGGGGAGCAAACAGGAUUAGAUACCCUCGUAGUC